CUGGAGACAAACCGAACCGUGGGAGGCUUGUUUGGGUACUCCUCAGAAAACUCUAUCAGAAGCUUAAAUGUUCCUGCGAAGAUAGAAGGAGAGGGUAUGAGGCAUAACAAAUGACAGACAGAGGGAGCGGGGUCUAGUUGUUACCACAUGAUCAAAAUAUGAUGACCGAUUAAAGUACCACUUUGUUUUCAAUUUAAGUCAUUUUAAAUGCAUUUCAGACACUUAAACUACUUCAGAACCUCAAUUUGUAAUAAUUUCUAACUUACAAUUUAAAAAAAGAAGCUAUCUACUCAGAGGUGUGGCAAUCCUCACGAUAAUUGUGGGAUUUUGUGCGCAGGUAGACUGAUUAUUUGAGCAUGCAACCCAUAAUCAUUUCACUACACACACGCUGCCCGAAAAGUAAUAAUACAUUGACUGAGUUCUCCAACUCUACAACAACAUCACGAGUUCAAGGUAAAGUUAAACCACAUCUAGAACUCAGAUAAACAUGAGGCUGCACUUUAGAUGACUCAAAAUGUAGA